UACGUAGGGGGCGAGCGUUGUCCGGAUUUAUUGGGCGUAAAGAGCUCGUAGGCGGUUCGUCACGUCGGGAGUGAAAACUCGGAGCUUAACUCCGAGCCUGCUUCCGAUACGGGCAGACUAGAGGUAGGCAGGGGAGAGCGGAACUCCUGGUGUAGCGGUGGAAUGCGCAGAUAUCAGGAAGAACACCGGUGGCGAAGGCGGCUCUCUGGGCCUUACCUGACGCUGAGGAGCGAAAGCGUGGGGAGCGAACAGG
rnacentral:rRNA from 1 species